CACGUAGGGCGCAAGCGUUGUCCGGAAUUAUUGGGCGUAAAGAGCUCGUAGGCGGUCUGUUACGUCUGCUGUGAAAACCCGGGGCUUAACCCUGGGCUUGCAGUGGAUACGGGCAGACUAGAGGCAGGUAGGGGAGAAUGGAAUUCCCGGUGUAGCGGUGAAAUGCGCAGAUAUCGGGAGGAACACCGGUGGCGAAGGCGGUUCUCUGGGCCUGACCUGACGCUGAGGAGCGAAAGCGUGGGGAGCUAACAGG
rnacentral:rRNA from 1 species